GCCUGGGUGGCUCAGUCAGUUGAGCGUCCGACUUCAGCUCGGGUCAUGAUCUCACAGUCUGUGAGUUCGAGCCCCGCGUCGGGCU
rnacentral:tRNA from 1 species